GGGGUACUCAUUUCCCAGAAUCUUAAUUAUGGGUAGGACGAAGUCUCAGUGCUCCCCGUGAAGGGCCCCCUUGACCCAGGGCCGUCCUCAGGGAUUCUUCAGGGGGGUGUAAGGUCAUUUCAAACGACUGACGAACAGGGCCGCCGAGAGGUUGACGGGAACUUUUUUAGGUAUGUUGCAAAUGCUUUCCAGUGACUUUACCUCAGGAGUCUAUUUUUCAUACCAAAAUUCGGAAAUUUACCCAAAAAACCCGAAUAUCUUGCCCUUUGCGCGGAAAUAUUUAAACCAAAUAGCAGUCCUGCCGACUGAAUAAAAUUGCUGGGGGGUGUCACACCUCCCGUAUCUCCGGCCCUGCCUUGACCUACUGUUCAGAGUGUUAACAGGGAGAGCUUUUUUAAAAGCUU